AUACGAAGGAUCCGAGCGUUAUCCGGAUUUAUUGGGUUUAAAGGGAGCGUAGGUGGACAGUUAAGUCAGUUGUGAAAGUUUGCGGCUCAACCGUAAAAUUGCAGUUGAUACUGGUUUCCUUGAGUACGGUACAGGUGGGCGGAAUUCGUGGUGUAGCGGUGAAAUGCUUAGAUAUCACGAAGAACUCCGAUCGCGAAGGCAGCUCACCGGGCCGGAACUGACACUGAUGCUCGAAAGUGCGGGUAUCAAACAGGAUUAGAUACCCUGGUAGUCCGCACAGUAAACGAUGAAUACUCGCUGUUUGCGAUACACUGUAAGCGGCCAAGCGAAAGCGUUAAGUAUUCCACCUGGGGAGUACGCCGGCAACGGUGAAACUCAAAGGAAUUGACGGGG
rnacentral:rRNA from 1 species